rnacentral:rRNA from 1 species
GACGAACGCUGGCGGCGUGCCUAAUACAUGCAAGUAGAACGCACGGUUUAUACCGUAGCUUGCUACACGACAGACGCUGAGGUGCGAACGGCUCAUUAACACCUAACUUACCUGCCUGGUAGCGGGUGAUAACUAUUGGAAUCGAUCGCUAAUACCUCAUGAUAUUCAUUAUUCCAUGAUAAUUGAUUGAAAUGUUCAAUUUCAUCACUACCUCCGGGACCUACGUUGUAUUAGCUAAUAGGUGAGGUAACGGCGCACCUAGGCGACGAUACAUAGGCGAACUGAGAGGGGGGUCGGCCACACUGGGAAUGAGACACGGCCCAGACUCCUACGGGAGGCAGCAGUAGGGAAUCUUCGGGAAUGGACGAAAGUCUGACCGAGCAACGCCGCGUGAGGGAAGAAGGUUCUCGGAUCGGAAAGAUCUGUUGUAAGAGAAGAAAGGGUGUGAGAGUGGAAAGUUCACACUGUGACGGUAUCUUACCAGAAAGAGACGGCUAACUACGUG